rnacentral:rRNA from 1 species
GAUGAACGCUGGCGGCGUGCCUAAUACAUGCAAGUCGAACGCAUAGCGAAAGGUGCUUGCCCCUUUCAAGUGAGUGGCGAACGGGUGAGUAACACGUGGACAACCUGCCUCAAGGCUGGGGAUAACAUUUGGAAACAGAUGCUAAUACCGAAUAAAACUUAGUGUCGCAUGACACAAAGUUAAAAGGCGCUUCGGCGUCACCUAGAGAUGGAUCCGCGGUGCAUUAGUUAGUUGGUGGGGUAAAGGCCUACCAAGACAAUGAUGCAUAGCCGAGUUGAGAGACUGAUCGGCCACAUUGGGACUGAGACACGGCCCAAACUCCUACGGGAGGCUGCAGUAGGGAAUCUUCCGCAAUGGGCGAAAGCCUGAUGGAGCAACGCCGCGUGUGUGAUGAAGGCUUUCGGGUCGUAAAGCACUGUUGUAUGGGAAGAACAGCUAGAAUAGGAAAUGAUUUUAGUUUGACGGUACCAUACCAGAAAGGGACGGCUAAAUACGUG